rnacentral:rRNA from 1 species
AGUGAACGCUGGCGGCAGGCCUAACACAUGCCAGUCGAGCGGCAGCGCGGGGGCAACCCUGGCGGCGAGCGGCGGACGGGUGAGGAAUUCGUCGGAAUCUGCCUUUUUGUGGGGGAUAACGUAGUGAAACUUACGCUAAUACCGCAUACGUCCUACGGGAGAAAGUGGGGGACCGCAAGGCCUCACGCAGAAAGAUGAGCCGACGACCGAUUAGCUAGUUGGUGGGGUAAAGGCCCACCAAGGCGACGAUCGGUAGCUGGUCUGAGAGGAUGAUCAGCCACACUGGGACUGAGACGCGGCCCAGACUCAAACGGGAGGCGGCGGUGGGGAAUGUUGGACAAUGGGCGAAAGCCUGAUCCAACCAUGCCGCAUGUGUGAAGAAGGCCUUCGAGUUGUAAAGCACUUUUGUCAGGAAAGAAAUCCCUGGGGCUAAUACCUUCGGGGGAUGACGGUACCGGAAGAAUAAGCACCGGCUAACUUCGUG